rnacentral:piRNA from 1 species
UGUGGCUAAUAAUAUAAGGCCUAGGUGU